rnacentral:tRNA from 1 species
GGCUCCGUCGUCCAACGGAAGGACAACGGUCUUCGAAACCGUCAAUGGAGGUUCGAAUCCUCCCGGAGUCA